rnacentral:rRNA from 1 species
AGGGAACGCUGGCGGUAGGCCUAACACAUGCAAGUCGAACGGCAGCACAGUAAGAGCUUGCUCUUACGGGUGGCGAGUGGCGGACGGGUGAGGAAUACAUCGGAAUCUACUUUUUCGUGGGGGAUAACGUAGGGAAACUUACGCUAAUACCGCAUACGACCUACGGGUGAAAGCAGGGGAUCUUCGGACCUUGCGCGAUUGAAUGAGCCGAUGUCGGAUUAGCUAGUUGGCGGGGUAAAGGCCCACCAAGGCGACGAUCCGUAGCUGGUCUGAGAGGAUGAUCAGCCACACUGGAACUGAGACACGGUCCAGACUCCUACGGGAGGCAGCAGUGGGGAAUAUUGGACAAUGGGCGCAAGCCUGAUCCAGCCAUACCGCGUGGGUGAAGAAGGCCUUCGGGUUGUAAAGCCCUCUUGUUGGGAAAGAAAAGCAGCAGGUUAAUACCCCGCUGUUCUGACGGUACCCAAAGAAUAAGCACCGGCUAACUUCGUG